UUAGAGUUUGAUCCUGGCUCAGAACGAACGUUGGCGGCGUGGAUUAGGCAUGCAAGUCGAACGAAUCCCGAGGGUGUAGCAAUACAUCCGAGGGGGAAGUGGCGAAAGGGGCAGUAAGGCGUGGGUAACCUACCCCGGGGACCGGGAUAGCCUUCCUAACGGAAGGGUAAUACCGGGCGAUCUGGUUUCGGGGCAUCUCGGGACCAGGAGAUGAGUUUCGCCUCGGGAGGGGCUCACGUGGUAUUAGCUUGACGGCGGGGUAACGGCCCACCGUGGCCAAGAUGCCUAGCGGGUGUGAGAGCACGACCCGCGCCACUGGCACUGAGACACUGGCCAGACUCCUACGGGAGGCUGCAGUCGAGGAUCUUCGGCAAUGGGCGCAAGCCUGACCGAGCGACGCCGCGUGCGCGAUGAAGGCCUUCGGGUUGUAAAGCGCUGUCGAGGGGGAGGAAGCCGCAAGGUUGACCUAUCCCUGGAGG
rnacentral:rRNA from 1 species